AGUUUAAAACAACUGGAACAGUGACAAACAAGGCUGGAAGAGGUCCCAAGUUUAUCUUGCCACAACGCACAGUGAGGAGGAUGCUAAGAGAAGUAAAAAAAGUCCUAAGCUCACUGUCACAGAAUUGCAUCAAAGAGUGGCAUCUUGGGGUCACAAAGUCUCCAAAACAACCAUCAGACGCUCUCUACAUGCCAACAAGCUGUUUGGGAGGCAUGCAAGAAAAAAGCCUUUUCUCACUAACACUCACAAACGUAAAUGUCUGGAGUUUGCUAAGCGGCACUGGGACUUCAACUGGGAUUGUGUGCUUUGGUCAGAUGAGACUAAGAUUGAGCUUUUUGACAACAAACACUCCAAGUGGGUCUGGCGUAAAACAAAAGAUGAGUAUGCCAAAAAGUACCUCAUGCCCACCGUGAAGUAUGGUGGAGGAUCUGUGAUGCUGUGGGCCUGUUUCUCUUCCAAAGGCCCUGGGAACCUUGUUUGGGUGCAUGGCAUUAUGAACGCUUUGAACUACCAGGACAUUUUGAAUAAAAACCUGAUGGAGAGUGCAUAAGAGAGGACCCAGGAUACUGGAUGAUCUAGAAAGAUUGUGCAAAGAAGAAUGGUCAAAGAUCCCUCUCUCUGUGUUCUCCAAUCUUGUGAAAUGUUAUAGGAGGAGAUUAAGUGAUGUCUUGUUGGCAAAAGGGGGUUGUACAAAGUAUUAACAUCAGGGGUGCCAAUAAUUGUGGGACACAUGAUUUCAAGGUGGGUUUUUUUUCUAUUU